CCUUCGAUAGCUCAGUUGGUAGAGCGGUGGACUGUAGUUGUAUACGAAUGGUGAUCCAUAGGUCGCUGGUUCAAAUCCGGCUCGAAGGA
rfam:Operophtera brumata OBRT01_Sc05834, whole genome shotgun sequence.